AUUGCCUACGUAUGGUUUGGGGAACUUAUAUAAGGGAAGGUUCUGGGGUUUUGUUUUUUCAACAUGAUCUCAGGCAAUGGAUUCAAAGGGAUUUCUGUAUAUCGUUGAAAGAGAUUUAGGGGUGAGGAAGUGAGAGCCUGCAUACUAGUAUUUACUGCGGGCUUGAUAGGCGACACGUGUGAAGAUGUGGGCGGGGUCUCAUCCGCAUUGGACACAUGGCGAGAGCGAGAAUCGGAAAGGUGAAGUGAUUUGUCCAAGGACUCUCGCCCUCUCAGCGGUGGAGCCGGAGCAAUUCAGGCCCAGGAACAUCUGACUGCAAGAGUACCUAACAUGAAGAAGUAUGAAUUCAAGUUAUCCUGUGAAUAUAAUGAUUAUUAUUAACAUAAAAUUUCCCUUUGCUGUUUUAACAUUUUAAAAACAAAACAGUCACCUGAUGUCCAUGAGUAGGUGGAAAAGAGAUUUAUAAAAUAAGAAAGAAAAGGGAUAUUGUGAACCUUUGAUACUCUUUAUCCUAAAGUGUUCUAAUUUCCCUGAGAAUAAGCCAGCAGUGGAAAUGAUCUUUUAGAUAUUCAAAUGUUUUUUUAAUUCCUUUCAAGAACAUUCACGUUUUACUAGUUGUUAUACAAGAAGUCAAAAUGAGUGGCUUUCCAAGAGUAAUUCAACAUUAUUAAUUCUCAAGUGAUGAAAUCUCUCAGCAUAAUUUAUGUUACGUAAAUCUAUUCGCUCAUUAACCUCAGUGAUUGAACAUCUUAUUUAUUCAAGGCAUUAGAGACACAAAAAUAAACAAACACAUUCUCUUCUCUAAUCUUUGCAGUAUUCUAGGGAAACAGGCAUAAAAACAUACAAUUAUGGUACAGAAUGGUGAGGAUUAUGUCCGAUGUAUAAACAGACGAGUGAGUAUAGCUGGCCUUUCUAACCUCCCAGAUGUCCAGAAAUCAGAACUAUAUGGAAUGAAAAUGAUGCCAGAAUAUGUAGGAAAGUUGUGAGGAAAAAAUGCAAGCUUGUUUUUAUUCCAUUUAGAUCAGGUUCCUUUCUUUUAAAAGGCACUUCAAUAAACAUUUCUCCAACAAGA